GACGAACGCUGGCGGCGUGCUUAACACAUGCAAGUCGAACGGAAAGGCCCUGCUUGCAGGGUGCUCGAGUGGCGAACGGGUGAGUAACACGUGGGUGAUCUGCCCCUUACUUUGGGAUAAGCCUGGGAAACUGGGUCUAAUACUGGAUAGGACCAUGCUGUAGGUGGUGUGGUGGAAAGAUUAGUUUCGGUAAGGGAUGAGCUCGCGGCCUAUCAGCUUGUUGGUGGGGUAAUGGCCUACCAAGGCGUCGACGGGUAGCCGGCCUGAGAGGGUGGACGGCCACAUUGGGACUGAGAUGCGGCCCAGACUCCUACGGGAGGCAGCAGUGGGGAAUAUUGCACAAUGGGCGCAAGCCGGAUGCAGCGACGCCGCGUGGGGGAUGACGGCCUUCGGGUUGUAAACUCCUUUCAGCCAUGACGAAGCCCUUGUGGUGACGGUAGUGGUAGAAGAAGCACCGGCUAACUACGUG
rnacentral:rRNA from 1 species